GUUAAGCCACUGAAACCAGGGGCUGUUUGGUACCAGCUGUGUCUCAUGGUUGGCUAACAACGAGCCUGAAGAAGCUCCAACUUGGGAAUCUACAUACCAGCAUUUCGGGGAGACCCAGGCUCGCUCUGCGCCCACUCUUCUGUGCAUUUCAGUAUCACAGCCCCAUUGGUCCAGGCCAUGUGGCCCUGCCUGCCUGAAGACUGAAUUAGUCCAUGUGUCUAUGGAACAGAGGCAAGCAAGCAGAUAAUCCUGGGUUUAUGUCAAGCGUUUAAUUAAAACAACUGGGCUCCAGAGUUUAGAGGAGAAUAAAUUCUUGGAAUAGAGAUGAAAUGUCCAACCUUGGAGGCCAGCUAUGGCAGCACUUGGGAGGCAGAGGUGGGAGGAUCUCUGUGAUUUGAGGCUCGCCUGGUCUACAAAGUAUGUUCCAGAACAGCCAGGGCUAAGUAUAGGCCCUGUCAUUCUGGGUGGCAUCCUUCCGAUCUGCUUCCUGUGCGUGUGUAUAGCUAGGGCCUAGGGCCUGACCCACUGCCCAUGGUUUCUGGGAUAACUCCUAAAGGAGGUAAAAGUGUUGUUGGAAAAGUUCACCAGGAAAAGAACAUUCCCGUUACAGAAGAAAAUUCCAAAACUGAGACAGAAAUAAAGACCACGAUGCAGCCACAGAAGAAUCUCGACCUUCUUGAACACUGAAAAGCUAGCUGCUACGGUUGCUCCCAUUACAAGAGGAUUCUCAGUGAAAAUCGGGCCUUAUGCAUGAGAUCAACCAGGUAAGCUUGUAAAAACGGACAUUAUCUGUAACAGGAACAACAGAGUCACCUCUGUGUAAAAGCUGGGGACCACACAGCCACAAAAAGCAUCCCCUGCAGGAGGACCUAAUUGAGGACUGCCUGAGAGAGCAAGGAUUGCUGCUGCAGACAAUGCCAGCCAAUCAGGAACUGCUGUUUAGAGGAGAUGUUUGCUUGGGACCAAUGGGCCAUAGGUGGAGCGGAUUAAAUGAGCUUGCAGCAGUGCUCAGAUGAGCUUUCUGAAGAGUUUCUCCUCUGCUCCCGGAGUCUGUGUCAUUGAUUCUGCUCCAUCUCACCUCCUCCCCACAAGGGCAGGUAGGGUCAGGCGUCGAGUGGUCCAGGACACAGGUAGCAGUAUCUUAAGGGAGUCAUCAGGUUCCUUUCCCACUGAGAAUGCAAGUACAUUUCUCAGAAGUCAGUUGAUCUGGUAAAGCAUCUCAAAGUCCUGAAUCACUCCAUGAUUGUGAACAAUUUGCCUGAACCCCAUCUCAGUGGAAGGUAGUUUAAAAAAAAUGCAGAAAACACUCGCCUAAACCACGUGAACGCAAAGAGAAAACUGCCUUCCUAGGACGCGAACAGAUCCUAGUGCAGGAUUAAGGAACGUUCUGAAGUGAAUUUGUCAGGCUGGGAAUGACGACAUUCGUAAAGCAUGGGUGGAAUGAAGAGAGACACAGAUAAAGGAAACAUCUGAGCCUUUGAUUUCCCCUGGAAACUGUGCAGUGGAAACGCUCAUUUCCAGUGAGGCACAUCGUUGAACUGCACCUAUAAAUUUGACAGAUGACUAUUUGCAUAGCCUUCUAAGUAAAGACAGCAGAUUCUUCAUUUCUUACCCGAGGAUUUGAUUUAAAUAAAUAUGUGCCUAUUACAUUUCCUUCUUCAUCUACACCCUGGGCGUUUUGUUUAAGAAAAGGGUUACACAGUUUGUUUGCUUAUUUGUUUUUUAUUGAAAUAUAAAAGGGAAGCCUUACAUAAUGAAAAUGCUUCAUUUUGUUCAGGCUGGGGUAGAAAAAAAAAAAGGAAUUGUUUACCUGUAACUGACUGACAUCAGCUUCCACUAUUGUAAAAAUCAGAGUAAAACCAGCACUUUGGCAUAAAAUUUGAAUUUGCACACGAACUCACAAGCCACAAGAGAGCGGCCGUCAUCGAUCAUGGGUUUGAGCAAUGUGAGCAUCACACAUGACCCUGCACUACUAACCAAACCACAAUAGUAUUACCUAGAUCUAAGUAUAUUUGUUUGUGAAUAUAAAAUUGAAACAAUAAAUGACAAAG